UUUGGCCAAAUCAAUCACAACCAAUCUACAAUUCCAGCACACAUAGCUUUGAAAGCAUUUUAUUGAGCAAUAGAAGUCUUUUCCUCCCAUCUUUAGUGAGUUAGAGUAAAUACUCAUUUUGCUUUUUGAAUCCGUCAACGGAUUUGGGUGUAAGGCUGACGUAAGGCCAAGAGAGUGCAAAUUUGGCGCCUAAGGCCACCGGCAUAGCGUGGGAACAAAUCGGGCGGUGACACUUUGCUGCCUUCUUUUGCUCUUCAUUCAUUUUUUGGAACUAAGGUGAGGCUGUUUAAUAAUUAAUCUUGAUUAAUUACCAAAUAGUUUCAGUUUAGUUUUUUUUUCCAUCAAAAUUAAUAUAUAUGACUUAUGCCUCCUAUUAUUCUCAUAAUACCCAAUAACUCUGUUAAAAACAUAAUUUCAUAGUAUUACUUUCAUUUGCAAAUAAUACAUUUUAUUAAUGUUCAUUAUAAAUUAAGUAAAUCGUAUAAAUAAAAAUAAAAAUAAAAAGUUCAAAUAUUAAAAAUAAGAAAUAUAAGUUAUAAAUUAAGUAAAUCAUAUAAAUUAAAAUAAAAAAUUCAAAUAUUGAAAAUAAGAAAUAUACGUUUUAGUGUGAAUAAAAGAAUAUAUAAUAAGAAAAUUUUCUUGUAGUUUUUGUUAUUUUUUAAACAAUUUUUUUCUUAUAAUAAAUAUAUAUUUUAUAUUCCCAAGAUCAAAUAUUAAAUAAAUGAUCUAUUUAUCUCUCUUUUCUUAUAAAGUAAGAAUAAGUGAUAUAUAUUAAUUUUAGUAGUAGGAAAAUUGACGAUCUCUCAAUUUUUUUAAACAAGUUGAGUAGAGAAUUUGAAUCCUUUCAAUAAUAGACGGUUUCAAAGAGUUUUAAAAUUUAAGAAGAGGAAAUAAUUAUUUUACUGAAACAACCAGAGGUUUUUGAUCAUUUUUUACAAAACGAAUCAUUUAUGGUAUCUGUUAUUUAAAGUUGCCUUGUCUGCUCAAAAGAACGAAGCUGAAACCGAGCUGUGGCUCGCUCAUAAUUAUCAUCAGUUGGCAGCAAUGGAUUUUCAGGCCAUGUUUCUUCGAUCUAUUCAAGGAUAAUAAGCGAUUCACAGAUGGGAUUUACACCAUGAACAAGUAGAGGAAUUCUUUUGUGAACAGGAUUACAUAUGUUUUAAGAGCAAUUCACUUAACUGUUAGGAAGAUUUUCCUCUAUUUAUUCAUCAUAUAAACACCCAUGGGCUUCAGUACCCCCAUCACUCUGUGGCCAAGAGGACUAGCCCAAAAUCCAUGCAGCUUCACUUCUUCCAUUGUUGCCAGUUAUGAGUUAUAUAUAUAUCAAAGUGAGAAUGUCAUAAAGAAUAAAAAUAAUACAUAUUUUAAUAUGCUAUUAGUUAAAAAAAAUAUAAUUUUUAAAGUAUUAAAAUUUGUGUUUUUUAUAUUUAAAGUAAAGAUUUUCACACUCUAUAUAUAUGUGGGGUCAAUGCUCAUAAUUUAAUGGGGUUGUAUCUCUUUCCUUUUUUUUUUUUAACUUAGAGCAAUAAGUUUCAUUUUUUAAAAUUCUGCAUUUGGCUUUGCUGUGUAUGCAUGCUCUAAUUGACGGUGCCUGUACAACAAUGUCAAACACAUGAUCAUUAAUUUAAUGGGGUUGUGGACCAUUUUCUUUGCUUGUGCAAAAGGUUGCAAAGACAAUGGCAAAUCAUUUUUUAGAAUCAGUUGUCUUAAUAUUGAAUUUUUUUUUUCAACCAAUCUUAAAAUUAGAAUUUAAAAAAUGAAAAUAACGAAAAUGUAUUUGAUAUUUGAAUAUUAUAUUAUUAAAAAAAUUAAUUAGAAGAACAAAACAUGUAUGGGCAGCGGAGUGGGUACCUUUUUUUAAAAUUCUUAUCACGAGAUUUUACUUACUUUAAUUGUGCAAAUAAGACUUUGUUUUAAUCAUUUCUUUUUUUCUUUUAGAUGUGUGGCCUAGUUGAGAUAUGACAAAUUUUCAUCUUUGUUUCCAAAUUCCAACUUAUCUUCACACAAAACAAAAAUAGAACUGUAAUUAGAACAAACAAGUGUUUUUUCUUACUGAUCAGUACUGCCGACUGAGGUCUACCAAAAAUUUAUCAAAAAGGGUGGCAAAUAACCACCAAAAACAAGUCAUUUUGAUUGUUUAAAAAAACUAGAAAAAAAAAACUAUGUAGUUUUGAUGGUUAUUUUGUCACUCUUUUGUAAUGUUGUUAGGAGGAAAAAUAAAAAUAAAAAUAAAAAUAAAUUUAGUCACUUUUAUUAUUUCCUGUCCAUAAAAAAAUUACGAGUAAGCUCGUCUUAAUACUUGGCAGUCAAAUUCAGCAAAGUGUAAAGAAUUCUUUGACAACAAUUAAUGCAAAAACAGAACAAGUACAAAGCAACACUAACAAACAAAUUUUAUGAUACUACAAUAUUCACUGUUCACGCAGGCGCGGCUAACUUUUCCCGACAACAUUUGAAAUAGACCAACAUCUUCUCCCGUUUUUCUUCAAUUUCAGGGACUUGAUAGAUAUUUUUAAGCGACAUGAUUAAUAGUAUAUAUGGUGGGGAUAUUUCCACCCCAUUGACACACCUCACUUUUAAAAAAUAUUUACAAUAAAUACACAUUAUUUCUAGUAAAUAUAAAUCAACAAAAAUAUUUAUAUAAUUAAUCAAUUAAAUCACUCUUACAUUUUUUUUUUAAUUAUUAAGGUUG
rnacentral:lncRNA from 1 species